GCCUGACGCAGCGACGCGCGUGGGGAGAAGGCCUUCGGGUGUAAACCCUUUCGUAGAGGGAAAAAGUCCCGAGCAAUCGGGAUGAUGGUACUUCAGGAAGAAGCCACGGCUAACUCUGUGCCAGCAGCCGCGGUAAGACAGAGGUGGCAAGCGUUGUUCGGAUUUACUGGGCUUAAAGGGCGUGUAGGCGUCUUGAUAAGUCAGAUGUGGAAGCCUUGGGCUUAACCCGAGAAUUGCAUUUGAAACUGUCAGGAUUGAGUCGUGCAUGGGAGGGCGGAAUUCCUGGUGUAGCGGUGAAAUGCGUAGAUAUCAGGAGGAAGGCCGGUGGUGAAGAUGGCCCUCUGGGCAAUGACUGACGCUGAGGCGCGAAAGCGUGGGUAGCAAACAGGAUUAGAUACCCUGGUAGUCCACGCCCUAAACGGUGGGUACUAGGUGUGGGUGGCGAUAGUCAUCCGUGCCGAAGGGAAACCAUUAAGUACCCCGCCUGGGGAGUACGGCCGCAAGGUUG
rnacentral:rRNA from 1 species